AGGCCCGAGCUCCCUGCCCAAACACCCCGCCCAGCCCAGGCCACCCUUUAAAUAUAUGUCUGAACAAGGCACUUCCUUGUUCAGAAGCUCCUACACCAAAUGGCUACCUUGCUAUUAAAAAAAGAAUUCUGAUGAUGGCCAAAAGCGCUACUGAUUUUUAUGAGGCAAGAAUACUGGAGUGGAUUGCCAUUUCCUCCUCCAGGAGAUCUUCAUGACCUAGGGACUGGACCCACAUCUGCUGUGUCUCCUCCAUUGCAGGCAGAUUAUUUACUGCUAAGCCACUGGGAAAGCCCAUUGCACAUCUGUGUUCAAGAUAAGGGAACUGAAGCACAGAAAGUGAAAAACCUACUCAAGAUCACACCAUCACCAGAUGACGGAGCAAGCUGGGAUUCAGAUGCAGGCAACUUGAUGACAAAAACGACAUCUACUGUUAUGCCUGCUAGAAACCAUAAAAGCUAACACGUUUAUUGGCUGUUUGCUGGGCUCUGUUCUAGGGCAUUACAAGGGUGAAUUCACUUAACCUCACAGCAGUCUGACAAGGUGGCCGUGACUGUCACUGUGUCAGAGAAGAGCUCGCUGCUUCCCUCACCCGUCGGCGGGAGGCAGAGCUGGGACUGAUUGCAGGCACUCAGCUCUAGAGCCUAUGCUCCCAACUGUCACACAAAACCACCCCUGAGCUUCCAGGAUAUCAUUCUCAGUAUUUUGAUACAUGCUUGAAACGUUUCAUAAUUC
ensembl:lncRNA